rnacentral:rRNA from 1 species
UACGGAGGAGGCUAGCGUUGUUCGGAAUUACUGGGCGUAAAGCGCACGUAGGCGGAUAGUUAAGUCGGGGGUGAAAUCCCGGGGCUCAACCCCGGAACUGCCUUCGAUACUGGCUGUCUGGAGGUCGAGAGAGGUGAGUGGAAUUCCGAGUGUAGAGGUGAAAUUCGUAGAUAUUCGGAGGAACACCAGUGGCGAAGGCGGCUCACUGGCUCGAUACUGACGCUGAGGCGCGAAAGCGUGGGGAGCAAACAGG